UACGUAGGGUGCAAGCGUUGUCCGGAAUUAUUGGGCGUAAAGAGCUCGUAGGCGGUUUGUCGCGUCUGCUGUGAAAACUCAGGGCUUAACUCUGAGCUUGCAGUGGGUACGGGCAGACUAGAGUGCGGUAGGGGAGACUGGAAUUCCUGGUGUAGCGGUGAAAUGCGCAGAUAUCAGGAGGAACACCGGUGGCGAAGGCGGGUCUCUGGGCCGAUACUGACGCUGAGGAGCGAAAGCGUGGGGAGCGAACAGG
rnacentral:rRNA from 1 species